GACGAACGCUGGCGGCGUGCUUAACACAUGCAAGUCGAACGGUAAGGCCCUUCGGGGUACACGAGUGGCGAACGGGUGAGUAACACGUGGGUGAUCUGCCCUGCACUUCGGGAUAAGCCUGGGAAACUGGGUCUAAUACCGGAUAGGACUCCUGGCUUCAUGGUUGGGGGUAGAAAGCUUUUGCGGUGUGGGAUGGGCCCGCGGCCUAUCAGCUUGUUGGUGGGGUAAUGGCCUACCAAGGCGACGACGGGUAGCCGGCCUGAGAGGGUGACCGGUCACACUGGGACUGAGAUACGGCCCAGACUCCUACGGGAGGCAGCAGUGGGGAAUAUUGCACAAUGGGCGCAAGCCUGAUGCAGCGACGCCGCGUGAGGGAUGACGGCCUUCGGGUUGUAAGCCUCUUUCAGCUAUGACGAAGCGCAAGUGACGGUAGUAGCAGAAGAAGGACCGGCCAACUACGUGCCAGCCGCCGCCGUAA
rnacentral:rRNA from 1 species